AUUUGCUUGUCUAUAGAGGAUUUUAUUUCUCCUUCACUUAUGAAGCUUAAUUUGGCUGGAUAUGAAAUUCUGGGUGGAAAAUUCUUGUCUUUAAGAAAGUUGAAUAUGGGCCCCCAAUCUCUUCUGGCUUGUAGUCUUUCUG